UGUAAGGUACCGAACUUCUAAAACUAUGAAGUUACGGUGUACAUUUAAAUAGUUCCGGUGAGGUUGCGGUGGAAUGUAACAUACUGGAUUUUAAAUAUAAAAGCGAAAAUAAAUAAAAAUAGUAUGAGAUACUAUUUUAUUGGAUUUAGAGAAGUGAAAUAUAGGUUGGAAAUGAUCUGUGCUGAAAUCGGAGCGAAAACAGAAGAUUUAGAAUUUUCUGUGUGAAACGGGACAGAUAAAUUAGCAGAAAAUGCACAGUAUCAGAAAAUUAUGAAAACUGGAGAAUAUGUCAGAAUUAUUUUUAUGAGGCUAGAUUU
rnacentral:lncRNA from 1 species